AGAACGAACGCUGGCGGCAGGCUUAACACAUGCAAGUCGAACGGUUGUAGCAAUACAGCAGUGGCAGACGGGUGAGUAACACGUGGGAACCUUCCUAGGGGUACGGAACAACUCAGGGAAACUUGAGCUAAUACCGUAUACGUCCGUGAGGAGAAAGAUUUAUCGCCCUUAGACGGGCCCGCGUAGGAUUAGGUAGUUGGUGGGGUAAUGGCCUACCAAGCCUACGAUCCUUAGCUGAUCUGAGAGGAUGAUCAGCCACACUGGGACUGAGACACGGCCCAGACUCCGUACGGGAGGCAGCGAGUGGGGAAUCUUGGACAAGUGGGCGCAAGCCUG
rnacentral:rRNA from 1 species